rnacentral:rRNA from 1 species
AUUGAACGCUGGCGGCAUGCCUUACACAUGCAAGUCGAACGGCAGCGGGCCCUUCGGUGUGCCGGCGAGUGGCGAACGGGUGAGUAAUGCAUCGGAACGUACCCGGGAGAGGGGGAUAACGGGCCGAAAGGCUGGCUAAUACCGCAUGAACUCGGAAGAGCAAAGCGGGGGACCUUCGGGCCUCGCGCUCUCGGAGCGGCCGAUGUCCGAUUAGGGUAGUUGGUGGGGUAAAGGCCCACCAAGGCGACGAUCGGUAGCGGGUCUGAGAGGACGAUCCGCCACACGGGGACUGAGACACGGCCCAGACUCCUACGGGAGGCAGCAGUGGGGAAUCUUGGACAAUGGGCGCAAGCCUGAUCCAGCAAUGCCGCGUGGGUGAAGAAGGCCUUCGGGUUGUAAAGCCCUUUCGGCGGGGAAGAAAUCGGUCAGGCGAAUAGUCUGGCCGGAUGACGGUACCCGCAGAAGAAGCACCGGCUAACUACGUG